GGUUCAUCCAUGGCCACCUCGCGCGAUCUCCGUGAGCAGGUCAACUUUGUGCUGGACCUCCUUGGGUUGGCAGGUGGACUACACGGCGCAUGGCUAGCGGUGGUGCUCGGGCGGCUCCCCGUGCAGCUCUGUUGCUGGCUAAUGCAGUUUGGUUGAGCCACUGGUGAGCUCCUUCCUGUACCGGCUUCGCGCCCAGUGCGGCUCGGUCGGCGCUGCCGUGCAGUUCGGGAGUCCCAUGGGCGCACAGUUGCAGUGCUAUGGGGGUUGGACAGCAAUGCACCGGCGACCGGCUUGCAUUUCACGGACAAAAUGUUGAUUUCUUUUUUAAGUCCUUCCUCAUUGUCAUCUUGUAUGUGUUUGUACUGUGGAUUAUAAAGAGCAGCAUUGCAGUUGUCUCGAGUUCAGGGACGUACCAAUCGCAACUCUCUUGAAAAAACAUGCACUGAAGAAAACAAUAGUACUUUUUUGAAAUGCAGCUCACUUGUUUGAGUGCCUUGUAAUCUUCUUUCUCCCAGAGGUUCACUAUGUUGCCAAGUGCAAUUUUUUUAGGAAAGGUUGAUUUUUAAUGCA